UAUAGUAGUAGCUUUUACUGGGACUAAACCUAAUUGUCAGAAUGACCGUAGUAUCAUGAUAUUAUCAGGAGAAUUAAUUUAUUUUAAAUGAUUUUAAUGAUUUAAUUUGAUAUUCAGUUGUGGCAAGAAGUCCAAAACCAAAACUAAAAAACGUUUUCAUUCAGUUAAAAGCAGAGGAUCAGUACUGUUCAUCCAAAUCACAGAAAACCAAAGCAAGACUCCCUGAUUUAAAAAAAAGUGUAAAAAAAGGCCGUGGGAAAUCAUCUGGACAACUAGAAAUUUACUAUGAAGCGAAGAUGCCUCGUGAGAGAUCUUCUAAAACAAAAGUAAAUCUCCGUUCUUUAGAAUUGGAAUGUAGUAAGUACAGUGUCACUCUUACCAAAUCAUAAUUAAUUAACCAUAAUUGUUAAUUACUUGUACAAUGCUACUUCCUGUCUGCUUUCAUUAUUUUCUUGUAAAAACUUAAUAAUAUCUAGCAAAAUUUAUAAUUAAUAAAUAAAUAAUAAUAAAUUAAAUAUUAAAGAUAUAAUAAGAAUUAUUGAUUAAAGAGAGGAUAAUCUUGGCAGCAUCAGUCUCAGAAGUGAAAGUUCAAAGAUGAAGAGAGUUCCAUAAUUUUGAAAACUUACUUUAGCAAUUUGAAGUUUAGUAGGUGAAAAAGUGAAAACCUACUUAAAUGGCAAUUUGAAUACAAGAAUCUAAGUUAAGUUAAAAGUUCAAUGACAAUUUGAAUACAAGAAUCUAUGUUAAGUUAAAUGGCAAUUUGAAUACAAGAAUCUAAGUUUUAAAGUGUAUUUAGAGUUUCAUAAUUUUUGCAAUUUUAAUAUAUAAUCUAUGGUAGGUGGAUGGGCAUUCCAUAAUUAAACAUAUUUAAAACACAUCCUUAUAUCAACCGGGCCAU